rnacentral:tRNA from 1 species
UAGCUCAGCGGUAGAGCGCUUGCCUAGCAAGUGCAAGGCCCUGGGUUCGAUCCCCAG